rnacentral:tRNA from 1 species
GCAUCUGUAGCUCAGGGGUAGAGCGGCGGUCUUGUAAACCGCAGGUCGCGUGUUCAAUUCGCGCCAGAUGCU